UGGGGAAUAUUGGACAAUGGGGGCAACCCUGAUCCAGCAAUGCCGCGUGUGUGAAGAAGGUCUUCGGAUUGUAAAGCACUUUCGACGGGGACGAUGAUGACGGUACCCGUAGAAGAAGCCCCGGCUAACUUCGUGCCAGCAGCCGCGGUAAUACGAAGGGGGCUAGCGUUGCUCGGAAUGACUGGGCGUAAAGGGCGUGUAGGCGGUUUACACAGUCAGAUGUGAAAUCCCCGGGCUUAACCUGGGAGCUGCAUUUGAUACGUGUAGACUAGAGUGUGAGAGAGGGUUGUGGAAUUCCCAGUGUAGAGGUGAAAUUCGUAGAUAUUGGGAAGAACACCGGUGGCGAAGGCGGCAACCUGGCUCAUGACUGACGCUGAGGCGCGAAAGCGUGGGGAGCAAACAGGAUUAGAUACCCUGGUAGUCCACGCCUGUAAACGAUGAGUGCUAGAUGUAGGGGAGCUAUA
rnacentral:rRNA from 1 species